ACGAACGCUGGCGGCGUGCUUAACACAUGCAAGUCGAACGGAAAGGCCCCUUUGGGGGUCCUCGAGUGGCGAACGGGUGAGUAACACGUGAGUAACCUGCCCUUGACUUCGGGAUAACUUCAGGAAACUGGGGCUAAUACCGGAUAGGAAUCCUUGCUGCAUGGUGGGGGUUGGAAAGCUUCGGCGGUUUUGGAUGGACUCGCGGCUUAUCAGCUUGUUGGUGGGGUAGUGGCUUACCAAGGCUUUGACGGGUAGCCGGCCUGAGAGGGCGACCGGCCACAUUGGGACUGAGAUACGGCCCAGACUCCUACGGGAGGCAGCAGUGGGGAAUAUUGCACAAGGGGCGGAAGCCUGAUGCAGCAACGCCGCGUGCGGGAUGACGGCCUUCGGGUUGUAAACCGCUUUCAGCAGGGGCGAAGCUUGUGGUGACGGUACCUGCAGAAGAAGCACCGGCUAACUACGUG
rnacentral:rRNA from 1 species